rnacentral:misc_RNA from 1 species
AACGCACCUUGCGCCCUUUGGCUAUUCCGAAGGGCAUGCCUGUUUGAGUAUCAUGAACACCUCAACUCUCAUGGUUUGCCAUGAUGAGCUUGGACUUUGGGGGUCUUGCCGGCCUAUGGGUCGGCUCCUCUCAAAUUAAUCAGCUUGCCAGUGUUUGGUGGCAUCACAGGUGUGAUAACUAUCUACGCUUGUGGUUUUCCAUCAGGUAACCUUCAGUGAUGGAGGUUCGCUGGGGCUCAUAAAUGUCUCUCCUCAGUGAGGACGGCUUUUUUGAACGUUUGAUCUCAAAUCAGGUAGGACUACCCGCUGAACUUAA